rnacentral:lncRNA from 1 species
CUCAUGUUACCAGAAAGAGGUCCUGAUCCAGACCCCAAAAGAGGGUUAUUGGAUCUUGCACAAAAAAGAAUUUGAGGCGAAUCCAUAAAGUGAAAGCAAGUUUACUAGGAAAGUAAUGGCUUUUUACUAGGAAAGUAAUACAGGAAUGGCUACUCCAUAGUCAGAGCUGCCCCACAGGUUGCUGGUUGCCCACUUUUCCGGUUAUUUCUUGAUGAUAUGCUAAACAAGAAGUGGAUUAUUCAUGCCUCCCCUUUUUAGACCAUAUAGGGUAAAGUGUGAUGGCACUGAUGGGAGUGUAGCAGUGAGGACAACCUGAGGUCACUCUCAUCGUCAUCUUGGUUUUGGUUUGGUGGGUUUUAGUCGGCUUCUUUACUGCAACCUGUUUUUACCAGCAAGGCCUUUAUGACCUGUAUCUUGUGCCCACCUCUUAUCUGAUCCUGUGACUUAGAAUUCCUAACUGUCUGGGAAUGCAGCCCAGUAGGCCUCAGCCUUAUUUUACCUAGCCCCCCCAUUUAAGACGAAGUUGCUCUGAGUUGAAUAAAAAGCAUUCAAAAAUAACCAAAUAAAAAACUUUAUGUGGAUAGAGAAUCAGAAAGACUGUGGUGACAGUUCUGAGUCAAACCUUCACGAUUUCCCCUCCUUCCUGUAAUGAAAUUAGACUCAGGAGAAGUUCCAGGAUUUAACAAACCCAGGAAUAAUAGUCUACAUUUCAACACUGAAAAGUUUUCUUACUCUGU